CAGACAUGCUCCGUGCGUUCAGCCGAAAGGUGUACUCGUACGGUUGCAGGCUAGAGUCUGUUCUUGGGGUCGGAUAAGGGUCUUGGGAAUGUGGCCGGUUCGCCGGUGUUAAGCCCUGGACUUGAUACGGCUCUGGGGACUGAGGAACGCAGCGCGCCAUUUUGGCCGGGGGUCGCUCCUCUCGGCACGCGCUUAGGAUGCUGGCAUAAUGGCUUUAAGCGGCCCGUCUUGAAACACGGACCAAGGAGUCUAACAUGUGUGCGAGUGUU
rnacentral:rRNA from 1 species